UACGUAGGGUGCAAGCGUUAAUCGGAAUUACUGGGCGUAAAGCGUGCGCAGGCGGCUUUGCAAGACAGAUGUGAAAUCCCCGGGCUCAACCUGGGAACUGCAUUUGUGACUGCAUGGCUGGAGUGCGGCAGAGGGGGAUGGAAUUCCGCGUGUAGCAGUGAAAUACGUAGAUAUCGAGGUGGAAUACCGGUGGCGAAGGCGG
rnacentral:rRNA from 1 species